rnacentral:rRNA from 1 species
GACAGAGGGUGCAAACGUUGUUCGGAAUUACUGGGCGUAAAGCGCGUGUAGGCGGCUCGGCAAGUCGGGUGUGAAAGCCCUGGGCUUAACCUAGGAAGUGCACUCGAAACUGCCAAGCUUGAGUUCUGGAGAGGAAGGCGGAAUUCUCGGUGUAGAGGUGAAAUUCGUAGAUAUCGAGAGGAACACCGGUGGCGAAGGCGGCCUUCUGGACAGCAACUGACGCUGAGACGCGAAAGCGUGGGGAGCAAACA